rnacentral:lncRNA from 1 species
ACAUGGGAGGUGGUUUAUGUGUGGGUGGAAGGUCGAUCCUGCAUUAAAAAGGUUAAUAAAUGUGACUGCAACAUUUAGAAAAAAAGGGGGUGGGACAAUUAAGGUUCUCUUAAGUUUUGAGGAGAUUUUCCUCACACUAAUACAUGCUUAAUUUAGUUUUUAGAUUUCCAUUACCCUAUCACACACGAGGAAAAAAGCCUGGUUUUAAAGUUCCAAUAUUUAAAACCAAUCUAAUUGAUUCAUUUAAAGAAGUUACUCAAAUGGAAGAAUUUCCUGAAAAUUAUUAUUAAGCAAGUAACCUAGUACAUAACCAAUUUACUUAAGUAUCCACCUGACUAUGCCUACCAUCAUUUUAAAGAUAGUCAAACACAUGCAAUGGAAGGCAAAGUGUCAUAAAAGUGAUUUUUAAAAAACUGUAUCUUAAAAUGAUAAUGAAAAAAGUUACAUUGUAUUUUGGAAGUAUUUGCAAACUCAUGGAAUUUCAAAACCCAUUUUCAAAACCCAUGGUUACUCUUAGAAUAUCCAUCUUGCAAAUCAAGAUUAUUCAACUAAAGACCAUAUAAAUCUUGUCACCUAAAAUGAACAAAGGGCCUCUUACAUCCUCAGGGAAUACAUUUAUUUUAGAAAAAAAAAAAAAACUAAUCAAUUUUUAAAAACCUACAUUUUCAUGUAUUUAAGCAUUAUUGUUACAAUAAAAAUUAAGUAUAUCUUGUAAGCUCUCUGCAUUUUAGAAAACAAUUUUUUAUAUCUUCUCAUACUUUUGAAGUUCACAGAUAACUAAUUUUCAAUACUUGUGAUGACUUAAUCAAACAAAAAUGUUACCUAUAUUAAAAAAUAAAAAGAAUUUAAAUCUCUAAAGGCCAAAGUAAUUACAAACUCUGUGGCUUAAUAACUCCUCAAUGUGGGCAUGAAAUAAUAUCUUAAAUGAACAGAAUUCAAACAACAAAUAAAAUGGUUACACGGAUGUAAUUACGUAGCCUAUUAGUAAAUUAUGUUUUUGAAAUUAUAGAAAAACCUGAGAUAACUUGGGAUCUUGGGAAAUAAAGUUAACCACAAGCUAGUUACUCUUGAAAUAGUAAAGAUCUAUAAAAAUUACUGUUAACUAUAAAUGUUAAAGAAUCAUUGUUACAGGUGUUGCAAAGAUACUUUGCAGUUCUUUAAAGGUAAUUAUUUCCUUUAAUCUAAUUAAAAUUACAGCAAAUUUAUAGCUCCAAGGUGCUAUUGGUCAUUUGGGUGAGAAAACCAAGGCCCAUGGAGGUGAUGUGAUCUGUUCAGGAUCAUACCACUAUUUUGAUCAGGAUAGAGCUGAGACUAACACCCAGGUGUCUUUAAUCCAAGAAGAUCUAUCCCAUAACUGUGCCAGAUUAGAGGGGCCGAGAUAUACACACAGCAUUUAUGAAGACAGAAGAAACACACUGAGAGCCUCUUAAUACAAAAAUAAUAACUGUAUAAGAAAUAAUGCCAUUUGUAUAAAAUGUCACAGUUUCACAAACAAUAUCAUCUUUGUGAUCUUGUUUCAUCUAUCAUCUACUCAUCACAACCAUGGGAGGUAAGUAGGAAAAAUCAUUAUUCACAUUUCACAGAUGAAGCAACAAAGCUGUUGAUAGAAUUAAGUGUAUUGGGACAUUGGUUUUUUGAUUCUACAGCAAAGUGCAAUUUCUGCUUUAGCAUUUUUAGCUCAAUGACUACACCCUAAAUACUGCUUUCUCUUUAAAUAAAAAAGUUGCACAUUUUGUAAUUCAUCAAAACCAGAAUUGUUUAAGGAAGGAAAGCUUUAAAACUCGAUGUGUUUGAUAAUUCUUGGCAAUUGAAAGUUAAGAUCUAUCCAUACCUAGGACUCGCAUAUACAAUCCAGAGAAACAAUUAAACUUCUAAGAUACUUCAAACCUCUC